rnacentral:lncRNA from 1 species
CCCACAUACCCUAACCUAGUGAGAGAAUUUAAGUAAAUGCGAAUACCGAAGUAGGAAGCAUAGAAUCGAAGGUGAAGGGAGUGUGCAUUUUGUUGAAUAUUACGAGUUUGGGAUGCACUCUUAGGAUGCCCACCAAUGGUAGCACAAUAAAUCAUCUUAAUGAUUACAAGUCAUUUUUGGGAGAGAUGAGGUUUGUGAGGUAAAGGAGGUG